GUGAAAAUCAAUUUAUUUUGAAUUUAAUGUUUUAUUUAAAUUUGAUUUUUAAAGUAUUCAUGGUUUUUAGUAUAUUUAAAAGAAUAAAUAAUUAUAAUUAUAGUUUAUUAGUAUAGUGAUAGAAUAUUUUUAAAUAAAAAAAAGAAUUUUUUGUUUUGAGUACCUUGGGUAUCAGGGUUAAUUUAUAAUUAUUAAUGAAUUUUAUUAUCUCGAAAAAAUUAAGAGCUAUAUAUAUAUAUAUAUUAAUGUAGAAUUAUUAUUUAUAAUAUAUUAUUGGUAAUGAAAUGUUAUUCGUUUUUUUUGUUAUCUAGUUACUUAAUAAAUAUAUUUAAUAUAGUUUUUAAUAUAAAAUAUAAUUAUUGUAAAUUAUAUUUUAAAUUAAUAAAUGAUAUUUUAAGGGUUGAGCUUUAAAUUAAAUUUUUAUAUGUAAAUAUAGCAUUUAAAAUUAAAUAGAAUUAGAAUUUUUUAUUUUUAAAAGUAUGUUAUAAUUAAUUUUUAUUUUUAUUUUAUUUAUAUUUAUUUUAAUUUUUUUAUUAAGUAUUAUAAUUGAAUUUUGUAAUUUUAUUUAUAAUGAUUAAAUUAGUAUAAUUUUUUGUUUUUUUUUAUUUUUAUGAAAGGUUUAAAUAAGGAAUUCGGCAAAUAUUUUUUUCACCUGUUUAUUAAAAACAUGUCCUUUUGUAUUGUAUUUAAGGUUUAACCUGCUCAAUGAUUAUUUAAAUAGCUGCAGUAUUUUGACUGUACAAAGGUAGCAUAAUCAUUAGUUUUUUAAUUGAAAGCUUGUAUGAAUGGUUGGAUGAGAAAAAAUCUGUCUAUUUAAAAUUUAUAUAGAAUUUUAUUUUUGUGUUAAAAAGCUUAAAUGUUUUUAAAAGACGAGAAGACCCUAUAGAGUUUAAUUAAAUAAAUUUAUUUUUAUAUUUUUAAGUUUAUAAGUUUUUAAAAUAAUUAUUUAAUUUGAUUGGGGUGAUCUUAAAAUAUGUAUAACUUUUAUAAUUUAAAAACAUUAGUUUAUGAUUUUAUGAUCCAUUAUUAAUGAUUAAUAGAUAAAAUUACCUUAGGGAUAACAGCGUAAUUUUUUUGGAAAGUUCUUAUUAAUAAAAGAGAUUGCGACCUCGAUGUUGGAUUAAAGUUAACUAUUGGCGCAGAAGUUAAAUAGUUAGGUCUGUUCGACCUUUAAAACUUUACAUGAUCUGAGUUUAAACCGGUAUGAGCCAGGUUGGUUUCUAUCUUUAAUUUAAUAUUAAGUUUUAGUACGAAAGGACCAAAUUUUAAUAAAAUUUAUUUUUUAUUGAAUUAUAGUAAUUGGUUAUUUU
rnacentral:rRNA from 1 species